UGCUCAGAAUAGGUGUCCUCUCCUGCAG
rnacentral:piRNA from 1 species